AAUCGUCAAUUAUUAAAAAAAGUCUUCUAUAUCUAGAAUUUUCAUUAAAAAAAAAAUUACUUUAGAAAAAAAGUGGAGGGAGGGGGGAGCAUGUGCACCCUUUCAACCCCCUUCCGUGUCAUCAGCCCUGUUUUAAAAAUUUGUGGAGUGUUUGCCAGAUUCAGAUUUUGAAAAGAAUCUGUAAUCGAGGACUUAGAGUUACAGAUCUCACAAGCAUGAGUUACAGAUCUCACAAGCAUGAGUUACAGAUUUCAUAAGCAUGAGUUACAGAUCUCACAAGCAUGAAGGUGUUUAUUCACUUGAUGCACAACUUGAAGGUGAUGAAUAUAGAAUUUUUCUAGAAGUACUGCUCUUAUAAUCAAAAUAUAAUGACGAGUUAAGGAAACAUUUGGAAAACAUUAUUUCUAAAAGUAAAAGUCUAUGUGCUGCACGGCAUGUAUCUGGAAGUCAUGGUAGAGACUUUUUAGUUACAUUUAUCUUAAAAACAAUUACAUCAUUCAUGUUAUUUCAAAAAUGACAAAGAAAAAUAUUUCAGAUGGAGUAAGAAAAAUUGGGUUUUAUUCCGUUAAAAUUGACACAACACAAGACAUAACAACAAAGGGUUCUCGAUGAAAAGACUUUUCUUAAUCUUCUUCGAAUUUCUUUACAACUACAUAGUAUUAUUAAUAUAUAUUAACGACAACGACAAGCAAGUCCCUAGUAGCCCUGUGGUGCGACGGACUUGCGUAUAUUUUUUGAAUGCAUGGGUUAAUAGCCAGCACUUUAUAUUAUAAACCACGAUUUUUUAAGUUUAUUAUUUUAACUCGAUGUCAAACGCGCAUGCGUAAAACAGCAUUGUUUACGUUCUUUAUAUAUUGUAAAUAUUUGUGGUGGACAUUUAUAUAAACU